AUGGAGCAUCUUCCAUCUGCGAAGCCCCAAGCUCCACAUAGUCCGGAUCCGCAUCGUAGUUUGUCUCCUCCUCUUCAUCUUCCUGUUCAUCAAUCCGUGCUCGGCUCGAAGAAGCACCUGCUCGGCUGGAAGAUGGACGAGCGAAAGAAGCACGUGCUUGGCUCGAAGAUGGACGAGCAGAAGAAAACACUUCCAUUCUAUACUGAGCACGUGCACGCACAUCCGUGGAUGAACCGCCAUGGCAAGAGAGUAAAGCGGCUAGUGUUCGGCAACGAUUCACAACCUUCUGCAGAGGCAAAGACAUUGACAUGCGCCUCUGGCUACAACAGCGACGAGGAUGCUGCUGGCACCGGCACACCGGACGUCGUGAGCGAGCUGCCGUUGCCGGCGACUCCAACGAGGCUGGAGCGCUCGUGCUCCAACAUCGAGACGGCGAGGCCUGGCUGGAAGGCGUUCGACCUGUUGAGUUGUCAUGUUACGUUUGUACCCAUAUCUCGACCCGGCGCCGCUCCCCACCAAGUAGAAGCACCCAGAGGCCAUCCGCCCCGACCGCCAACAUAUGCCACGACCCGACGUCGCCCAAUCGGAGUGCCGUCGCACCAGCUCGCCAUAGCACCAAGCGCAUCCCCUACCGCAGAUUUCGGGGCUAGCCGCCACCCCUGCCAAUCGCGUAUGGGCAGGUGCGGGCUGACGCCCCCCUCCCGGCCUCGACCUUCCCCGUGCCCUUGCUUCCAGUCCCCAAAUCCAGGAGAGACAGCGGGGGCACGGCCCAAGAUCGGCGACAGGGCACGAGCGGACGUUGGAGAGACGAGAUCGACAGGUUACCACCAGAAGCUGCCCACGCCAGGAAGAAACUGCAAGAAGUGCACUUGCUGCUGUUGCGUUGGACUAGCUGGUGUUGCAUUGGAAGGAAGACGAAUUACCCGGCAAGAACAGCUUCAACAUCUCACAUCAUCAAGUAGCAACCCACCCCGUGUUGGACGUGGCCCAGAAACCAGCCCACACUUCCUCCCAUCCCCGACCGAACACAGAGAGGAAAAAACUGUCGCUAACACGCACUCACGUCUCCGCCUCCCCCCAACUCCCAACUCCCAACUCGCUCCCGACCCCGACCCCAUCUCUCUCCAGGAAAAGUCGCCGCCAGUGGCGGCUGUGUUCGUCGCCCCGCCACCGAUCCAUCCGCUGCCGCGCGCCUUCUGGAUCAAGGUGAGGGAUGCCUCCCGUCCCGUGCGCCCGCCUUGGAAGAGAGAUGGGGGAGAGAAAGGGAGAGAUAAGAGAGAGGGAGGAGCGGACAGCGGCGGCGCUGGCCUAAUCGCCGACAUAGGAAGAUGA
rnacentral:rRNA from 1 species